rnacentral:rRNA from 1 species
CCUACGGGGUGCAGCAGUGGGGAAUAUUGCGCAAUGGGCGAAAGCCUGACGCAGCGACGCCGCGUGAGGGAUGAAGGUCUUCGGAUCGUAAGCCUCUGUCAGCAGGGAAGAACGGUCACUGUGCUAAUCAGCAGUGAAUUGACGGUACCUGCAAAGGAAGCACCGGCUAACUCCGUGCCAGCAGCCGCGGUAAUACGGAGGGUGCGAGCGUUAAUCGGAAUUACUGGGCGUAAAGCGCUCGUAGGCGGUAUGUCAAGUCAAGGGUGAAAGCCCCGCGCUCAACGUGGGAACUGCCUUUGAAACUGGCAAACUGGAGUGUGUGAGAGGAUAGUGGAAUUCCAGGUGUAGGAGUGAAAUCCGUAGAUAUCUGGAGGAACAUCAGUGGCGAAGGCGACUAUCUGGCACAUAACUGACGCUGAGGAGCGAAAGCGUGGGUAGCAAACAGGAUUAGAUACCCUAGUAGUC